GACGAACGCUGGCGGCGUGCCUAAUACAUGCAAGUCGAGCGAGCGGAACUAACAGAUUUACUUCGGUAAUGACGUUAGGAAAGCGAGCGGCGGAUGGGUGAGUAACACGUGGGGAACCUGCCCCAUAGUCUGGGAUACCACUUGGAAACAGGUGCUAAUACCGGAUAAGAAAGCAGAUCGCAUGAUCAGCUUUUAAAAGGCGGCGUAAGCUGUCGCUAUGGGAUGGCCCCGCGGUGCAUUAGCUAGUUGGUAAGGUAAAGGCUUACCAAGGCGACGAUGCAUAGCCGAGUUGAGAGACUGAUCGGCCACAUUGGGACUGAGACACGGCCCAAACUCCUACGGGAGGCAGCAGUAGGGAAUCUUCCACAAUGGACGCAAGUCUGAUGGAGCAACGCCGCGUGAGUGAAGAAGGUUUUCGGAUCGUAAAGCUCUGUUGUUGGUGAAGAAGGAUAGAGGUAGUAACUGGCCUUUAUUUGACGGUAAUCAACCAGAAAGUCACGGCUAACUACGUGCCAGCAGCCGCGGUAAUACGUAGGUGGCAAGCGUUGUCCGGAUUUAUUGGGCGUAAAGCGAGCGCAGGCGGAAGAAUAAGUCUGAUGUGAAAGCCCUCGGCUUAACCGAGGAACUGCAUCGGAAACUGUUUUUCUUGAGUGCAGAAGAGGAGAGUGGAACUCCAUGUGUAGCGGUGGAAUGCGUAGAUAUAUGGAAGAACACCAGUGGCGAAGGCGGCUCUCUGGUCUGCAACUGACGCUGAGGCUCGAAAGCAUGGGUAGCGAACAGGAUUAGAUACCCUGGUAGUCCAUGCCGUAAACGAUGAGUGCUAAGUGCUGGGAGGUUUCCGCCUCUCAGUGCUGCAGCUAACGCAUUAAGCACUCCGCCUGGGGAGUACGACCGCAAGGUUGAAACUCAAAGGAAUUGACGGGGGCCCGCACAAGCGGUGGAGCAUGUGGUUUAAUUCGAAGCAACGCGAAGAACCUUACCAGGUCUUGACAUCUAGUGCCAUUUGUAGAGAUACAAAGUUCCCUUCGGGGACGCUAAGACAGGUGGUGCAUGGCUGUCGUCAGCUCGUGUCGUGAGAUGUUGGGUUAAGUCCCGCAACGAGCGCAACCCUUGUUAUUAGUUGCCAGCAUUAAGUUGGGCACUCUAAUGAGACUGCCGGUGACAAACCGGAGGAAGGUGGGGAUGACGUCAAGUCAUCAUGCCCCUUAUGACCUGGGCUACACACGUGCUACAAUGGGCAGUACAACGAGAAGCGAGCCUGCGAAGGCAAGCGAAUCUCUGAAAGCUGUUCUCAGUUCGGACUGCAGUCUGCAACUCGACUGCACGAAGCUGGAAUCGCUAGUAAUCGCGGAUCAGCACGCCGCGGUGAAUACGUUCCCGGGCCU
rnacentral:rRNA from 1 species